UGUUAUUAGUCUAAUAAACAUGAAGUUUCUUGCUUUGGGCAAGAGGCUUGUUUUAAUGUUUACAUAAAUUGACAUUUGAAAAUUUUGAUUACUAAUUUAUCUUCUAAUUUCUGUUUCAAUUGGUUAUGAUUAUAAUUAGGUUACAUCUCAUCCACAAUUAUGGGACAGAAAAUAUUUGAACCUGGUGAUUUACAGUCAUCGGAAACUUUCUGGAAUGUUUUAAAGCUUUCACCUCGAGACAAACUCGACAAGUUUGCUGAAAUGUGGUUCCAUGUGUUUCUCUGGGCCUUUUCGUCGUACCUUUUUGUUCAUCUUGUUGCAUCUCUGGUUGCAUUCAUUUCUCUUAGGAAACACAAAAUUGCCCGAUUUGCUCCUAUCCUGCUAGUAAUCUCAGGAGUUGUCACUCCUCUAACAAUGAGUUUAAUCACUAGUUCAGCAAUUGCUGGUGUUUUUCGAGCUGCCAGCAUCGGUAUGAGUCCGCUGAAUGCAUUCCUAUUUGGUACUGGACAAACUCUCGUGAAUCUGAUUUUUAGUUACACCAGAAUCUUGGCCACAUUAUGAUUCUUUUAUGAUCUAUUUUCAUCGCUCUCACCAUCAGAUUGGAUUUUAUCAAGUGAACUCUCUAUGUAUCCUGGAAUUGCCAAUUUUCGCUUCAAUUGAAAAUCAUUGGCCUGAAGUUUAGCUUGAAAAUUCAAUGAUGAAAUGUCUCUUUAAAUGUCACAUGACAAUUCUCAUUCUAAUGGUUUAGCUAUGAAAAAUUUAUUGAAAUUGUUACAAUUGCUGAAACUAUUUUUCAAAACAUGUUCUAUUAUUGUUAUUAUAAAUUGAAUUUAUUCAGAUUUCUAUGA